CAGUAGCCACGGUAAUACGUAGGUGGCAAGCGUUGUCCGGAAUUAUUGGGCGUAAAGGGCUCGCAGGCGGUUUCUUAAGUCUGAUGUGAAAGCCCCCGGCUCAACCGAGGAGGGUCAUUGGAAACUGGGAAACUUGAGUGCAGAAGAGGAGAGUGGAGUUCCACGUGUAGCGGUGAAAUGCGUAGAGAUGUGGAGGAACACCAGUGGCGAAGGCGACUCUCUGUCUGUAACUGACGCUGAGGAGCGAAAGCGUGGGGAGCGAACAGGAUUAGAUACCCCAGUAGUCCCUGUCUCUUAUACA
rnacentral:rRNA from 1 species